rnacentral:siRNA from 1 species
AGACAAAACACUUACCAAAAUCCU